UACGUAGGUGGCAAGCGUUGUCCGGAUUUACUGGGCGUAAAGAGCGCGCAGGCGGUCGUUCAAGUCGCGUGUGAAAGCCCCCGGCUCAACUGGGGAGGGUCACGCGAUACUGAUCGACUCGAAGGCAGGAGAGGGUAGUGGAAUUCCGGGUGUAGUGGUGAAAUGCGUAGAGAUCCGGAGGAACCCCAGAGGCGAAGGCGGCGUUCUGGCUCGCAACUGACGCUCAGACACGACAGCAUGGGGAGCGAACGGG
rnacentral:rRNA from 1 species